UACGAAGGGGGCUAGCGUUGCUCGGAAUCACUGGGCGUAAAGGGUGCGUAGGCGGGUCUUUUAAGUCAGGGGUGAAAUCCUGGAGCUCAACUCCAGAACUGCCUUUGAUACUGGCGAUCUCGAGUCCGGGAGAGGUGAGUGGAACUGCGAGUGUAGAGGUGAAAUUCGUAGAUAUUCGCAAGAACACCAGUGGCGAAGGCGGCUCACUGGUCCGGUACUGACGCUGAGGUGCGAAAGCGUGGGGAGCAACAGGG
rnacentral:rRNA from 1 species